rnacentral:rRNA from 1 species
CUUGGUCCAUUUAGAGGAAGUAAAAGUCGUAACAAGGUUUCCGUAGGUGAACCUGCGGAAGGAUCAUUACAGUAGUCACCCGGGUUGCCGCAAGGCCUCUCGGGUAACCUACCACCCUUUGUUUAUUACACUUUGUUGCUUUGGCAGGCCUGCCUUCGGGCUGCUGGCUCCGGCCGGCGAGCGCUUGCCAGAGGAUCUAAACUCUGUUUGUCUAUACUGUCUGAGUACUAUAUAAUAGUUAAAACUUUCAACAACGGAUCUCUUGGUUCUGGCAUCGAUGAAGAACGCAGCGAAAUGCGAUAAGUAAUGUGAAUUGCAGAAUUCAGUGAAUCAUCGAAUCUUUGAACGCACAUUGCGCCCCCUGGUAUUCCGGGGGGCAUGCCUGUCCGAGCGUCAUUACAACCCUCAAGCUCUGCUUGGUGUUGGGCCCCGCCGCCCCGGCGGGCCCUAAAGUCAGUGGCGGUGCCAUCCGGCUCCGAGCGUAGUAAUUCUUCUCGCUCUGGAGGUCCGGUUGUGUGCUUGCCAUCAACCCCCAAUUUUUUUCAGGUUGACCUCGGAUCAGGUAGGGAUMCMCGCUGAACUUAAGCAUAUCAAAANNCGGAGGA